AUCAUCGUAUUUUUACAAGGUGAGUGUAAAUGUUAACUUGCAAGUAAUAUUUUACAUGUUUUACGUUUUUUACUUGAUGAAAUUGUCGUCUGUGUUGCCCCGUUUAUUCAAGUAUAUUGAAAACGUAACAGCAAAACUUGCUGGCUGAAAUUCACAGCAUAGCUAACAGCGUAGCAGACCGAGUUAGCUGCCCUAGACAUUAUUCGUCGACGAUUUCGAAAGGAGAAAUUAUUAUUUAGUUUGCUUGCGGUUAGCUUUCUUUAGGACACAGCUAGCUAGCCCUGAAACAUGACACUCGGUGUACUUCAGAGUGGGAUAGCGGGGCUCCUAUUCGCCAUGUGACAUGCGUUUCAGCCACUUCACACGCUCAACCCUCAACCGAUAGGGUCGCCUGUGUUGGCAAAGUUCACACUUCAGUUCAGUUCGUUCAAAAGAAAAUUAACGAAUUCACGUUCAUAUUUCACCAAUUCAGUUUUAAAACUAGUUCAUGUUUAGUUCAUUAACAGUUUUGUUUAGAAGCCGAGGAACUCUGGGAGUCAGUUCAAGUUCUUUAGUUAAAAAUAUGUUAAGUUCAGUUCAAAGUUAAUAGAAAAAUGAAUUAGUUCAUGCUCAACACUGGUCGCCUCCUAGUAGAAAGCAUGGGGGUAAUACAGUGCUAUUUUGUUGUUUGCUUGAGGAAAAUAGCUGUGUUAAGCAACAAUUGCUAAUAUCUGCUGUCAUGAAGACUUUAAAAUGAUAAAUAUCAGUGCUAUUGAAUCCCUCGGCUUGUUAUUUGCUUUUUUUAUGCCUACUAGAUUGAAGCCGAGUUUGCUCUCCUCACCACUGUUGACCUGAAAGGCUGUCUCUCUGCUGGCCUUGACAAGUCUGCAGAGGUUUAUUGAUCUCUACAGAGCCAAGUGUGGUGGAGCUGAAGAAGCUGUUGACAACACUGGAUAGUGAUUGUUCCAACCAAUGGAAAAGGACCAUCGGUCUGAUGGGGCUCCCCGACUACCUCAAAGAUGUUGCGUCCUACUUUUACAAGAAAGUUCAGUUGCUAAGGAGGACAUGACGAGAGGAAUGACUGUGGGCAUCCUCGUGGUGGCAGACGGGAAUGAUACUGUUGGUUUCGCUGUGGUCAUUGAGGAAGAAAUCAUCCUUCCGUCGCUCAGUGAUUUUCCAACGGCUGUGGCACUUAUGAUGGGUCUGCUCUAUGCACUGAACAUUGACUACCCCAAAGACACAAGGUACACAUUUGAAGUCAUUCAGAAGGUGCUCAUGGACAUUGGUGGAGGCCAUUCCACUGCGUUGGUUCAUGGCUUGAGAAACAGACUCUUGAGGAAAACCAUGUAAGCUUAAAGUAGAGUUUAAGCUUUGCCCAAAUGUGAACUUGAUUGAGAAAUGGAAUCUUUGUUAUUUUUGUUAGACGUCUUAUAGAUUGUGUACUGUUUGGGGGACACAAUAACACACGGUAUGGAUUUAUUUGGGGGACACAGUAACACACACGGUGUGGAUUUAUUUGGGGGGGACAGUAACACACUCGGUGUGUUUAUUUUGGGGACACGGUAACACACUCGUGUGUAUUCGUUUUUGAAGGACAGUAAAACACACAGUAUGGAUUUAUUUGGGGGACACAGUAACAC